rnacentral:rRNA from 1 species
UACGUAGGGGGCAAGCGUUAAUCGGAAUUACUGGGCGUAAAGGGUGCGUAGGCGGCGCGGUAAGUCGGGCGUGAAAUCUCGGAGCUUAACUCCGAAACUGCAUUCGAUACUGCCGUGCUUGAGGACUGGAGAGGAGACUGGAAUUUACGGUGUAGCGGUGAAAUGCGUAGAUAUCGUAAGGAAGACCAGUGGCGAAGGCGGGUCUCUGGACAGUUCCUGACGCUGAGGCACGAAGGUCAGGGGAGCAAACGGG